CCUACGGGUGGCUGCAGUGAGGAAUAUUGGUCAAUGGACGAGAGUCUGAACCAGCCAAGUAGCGUGAAGGAUGACUGCCCUAUGGGUUGUCAACUUCUUUUAUAUGGGAAUAAAAUGUUCCACGUGUGGGAUUUUGUAUGUACCCUAUGAAUAAGGACCGGCUAAUUCCGUGCCAGCAGCCGCGGUAAUACGGCAGGUCCGAGCGUUAUCCGGAUUUAUUGGGUUUAACGGGAGCGUAGGCCGGCUUUUAAGUCAGCUGUGAAAGUCCGCGGCUCAACCGUGGAAUUGCAGUUGAAACUGGAGGCCUUGAGGUCACACAGGGAUGCCGGAAUUCAGGGUGUAGCGGUGAAAUGCUUAGAUAUCAUGAAGAACACCGAUCGCGAAGGCAAGUGUCCGGGGUGCAACUGACGCUGAGGCUCGAAAGUGCGGGUAUCAAACAGGAUUAGAUACCCCUGUAGUC
rnacentral:rRNA from 1 species